rnacentral:rRNA from 1 species
CGGAGGGUGGCAAGCGUUAUCCGGAUUCACUGGGGUUUAAAGGGUGCGUAGGCGGACAGGUAAGUCCGUGGUGAAAUCCUGCAGCUUAACUGCAGAACUGCCAUGGAUACUAUCUAUCUUGAAUGUCGUGGAGGUUAGCGGAAUAUGUCAUGUAGCGGUGAAAUGCUUAGAUAUGACAUAGAACACCCAUUGCGAAGGCAGCUAACUACGCGAUAAUUGACGCUGAUGCACGAAAGCGUGGGGAUCAAACAGGAUUAGAUACCCUGGUAGUCCACGCCCUAAACGAUGAUUACUCGACAUUGGCGAUACACAGUCAGUGUCGUGAGCGAAAGCAUUAAGUAAUCCACCUGGGAAGUACGAUCGCAAGAUUG